UUAAAUUCCCCCCUCAUCAUAACUCCUUUGUAUUUGCCACAUCAUUAUAAGUAGUCGUAUGUACCACAUCGGCAGACAACAUAUUUAAUUCUAUGGAUACUAUCGUGUACGAAGUAUUGGGACAUCAUGCACAGAAAAAUAUUUAGCUAAACUCUUGGGUGGCUAUUCUAGUUACAAAAUUUUUUAGAAGAAAUUCAACGAGAUAGAUUAAUAUGUGAUAAAUUAUUCUACAAACAUACAAGAUUAAAUUUAACUUUUACAAGUUAAAGAAAACAAUUUUAACUGCGAAUAUACGUCAACUAUAGUUUAAUUUGUUUUAACUUAUAGAUAUGAUAGGUUGAAUUUUAACUUACAUCUUUAUAUAGAGUGAUGUGUUAUAUAUUAAUCUAUUUUGCUGAAGUUUUCCAUUAUCAGUUAGUAGAUGACACGUAAAUAACAGGAUAGAAUGUCCACUACCCCGGCCGCAUGCACUUGGCUCGCACGCGGUCGCCGCCGGUUGGGUGAGGUGGUGACUCGGCCGGAAGCCGACGCGUACCAAGAAAAGCCGCGCGCAAAGGCGCAGGAAAAGCGACCCCCUCGCUUUGGUAGCGCGUGCAGGCGAUCGAUCGAGAGAUGGAUGGAUCAUUGGUGGCGAGCGAGCGAAUCGUAAAGCAGCCAGAGCCAGCGUGGUCACCACGACGACGACGACCCAAACUAAAGAUGGCCAACUCACAUCUCAUCUCAUCUCAUCACGAUCACGGCCUUUUCUUUUAAUUUCUCCCUUUUUUGUCUGCUCCAAUCCAUUCACUUCACAUUUUGGUUCAUCUAUAGGUACAUGCAUGGCCUGCCAUGCGUGCAUACUAUUUUUUUCCGUUAUAAUGGAUGACACAUAUACGAAGUGAGCGUAACUCAACUGAUUAGAUUUUUUUAUGAUAUUUGUAUUUACGGCUAAUUAUUUUUUCAAUAAUCCAUAAGCGACGUAUCCGUGUGAUACAUUAUCACUAAAGUCUAUAUAUACGAUAUUGGAAUAAUAUAUUAUUGGUAGCGUCCAAAAAGGAUGCAACUGAACAUAUGCAAGAAAGCACGCAGCAUAUAUACAGGCUGCCCUGCCGUGCAGUGCAGGUGAGGUGAGGACAUAUAUAUGUAGACGCACAUGAACUAGGAAUACUAGCUAUUUGAGCAGGCAGGCAGGGCAUCUGUAGGCUGUUGUUGAGAGGAAAGGGUCAGGUUUGCUUAGCAUUAUUAAGGGCCUUUAACCUCACCAUCUUCUUUCUUUUCCGAUCCUUUCCUACAAGGGUGUGAACUCAGAUCCCUGCCUUGUUCAGACAUCAACCUAAGAAUCUCAAAGCUAGGGCUCAUACUGCCGGCACUGCAUGUACGUACUUGUCGGUGCAUGGAAACUGAGAGGAAUGUGGUGGCAGAUGCAAAACACAAGAGGAAGAAGGAUAUGUUAAUGAUGAUCAGUGAAGGAUUAAUUAAUAAAGGACACUGCUAUGGAACUAGUAGUGCUUCUAAAUACCCCGCUCCAAAAAGCACAAGCUAGCUAGGUCCCAAAGAUUUGGAAUAUCUUAGGUGAUAUAGAUCGAGCAUCACUUUGCAAGUUAAUUACACAAACCUGUCUUUUCAUGCUUUUAGAAACACAUGUAUUAGGAAAAAGAACAAAUAUGGACGUUUAUAUGAACAUUCUGUGCGCUUGUGUUAAAGAUUAA